ACCACCCACCAUAUCCUAUCUUCUCAGGACCUCCCACCUCGUCCCCCUCCAUCCACUCCGCUCGACCACCACCUCCAACCACUCCGCCGCACCAUCUCCCUUCCCGUGACGCUGCACCACCUCCCUCCCCCACGCUGCCGGACCCCUCCCUCCCCGCGGCGCCGCACCGCCUCCCACGCGCGCCAUCCCACGCGUCGCCACCUCCCUGUGCCGUUGGACCACACCUUCCCCCGCGCCGCCUAGCCGCCAUCUUCGUCCGCGCCGCUGCCCCACCUCCUUCCUCCGCGCCAUCGUGGCGCCAUGCCGACGACCUCCUACUACGUCGUCGCGCGGUGGCUCCUACCGCCGGAUCUGGCACUCGCCAUAACCUACCUCCCACCCUGUGUCGGCCCCUCCCUGCGACGCCGUCGGCCAUGUGCCCCCGCCGCUGCCAGCGCCCUGGUCCCGCCUAAGACCGCCACUACUUCCUCCCCGACGUGGCCAGACCCCAUCCUCUUCCCCAGAUCUGGCAAAAGACGGGGCGACACUGGUGUUCAUGAUGGCCGUUGGCCCAAGAAGCUCGAGAUGGAUCCACCAUCCUCUCCAGAUCCACCGUGAAGCAUGACCGACAGGUAUGAAGGAGGUCCAUUGGGGCCAAGGUUCUGGCGAUAGCAGCUUGCAGUCUGGGCAAGCAUGACACGCAGCUCGUAGGCGUGCGCGUGUGUCGUUCGGUGCCUUGUCGUCCUUCCUCUAGCGAGAUCCUUCACCCCCUCGAGCACCUUCUGCAAAAUCGAGUAGCCAAUCUCCUAUAGAUUUGUGGGUGCCUCACUGCUGCAUGCAUGCAUCCCGUUUCCUGCUCCUCUCCACCCUCCCUAGAGGGCAUGCAGCUUGCCGGGUGCCGGCGUGUGUGUUUGCAGGUCCUACCGUCCUAGCAACCGAUGGGUCACCCCUUUUCAGCGAGCACUGCGUGUAGUGCGGGCGAGCGUGUCGUGCAGCUCGUCGGGCGUCUGGGCGACGAACCUCACUUGCAGCUCUCUCCUCCACUCCUUGUUGUUCGCGGGAAGCAGGGGAGAAGCGCACUGCACUAGGGGUGGCCGGUGUCAUACGUUUUUUAAGUAGUUAAUCUUGUUAUGUCUUUUUUAGUAGUCAUCUUGUUGUAUGUUUCAGUUUGACAAUGUUAAUGCAUGCAACUCUUUGCUGCUUUGGGUGCAGCUCGCAGGCAUUUGUGUAUACAGAGGUUUUCUUGUCUAGAGGGAAUCGGCAGUACCCGGAUUUCGCGUGUGACUGCAGCCCACAGUACAGGGACCUGCAGCUCCCUCUCCCUCUCGUGGAAGUACAUCACUAGCAAAAAGGUGCCUGGAGGUGGGCGAGGUCCUGGCCUCCGAACUCCCUGCGCCUCCUCCCUUCUGCUGAAGUCGUUGGUCGCCGGCAUGAUGCUGGACCAGGCGACGAGGGCGCUGGAUGGGUCGUGCAGCGGGGCAGGGCUUGCAGUCUGCAGUGUGCAAUCCUGUAGCUCGGCCCUCGCAUGCGUGCACUUCAUGUUUUUUCCUUAUUUUUCCUAAUUUUUUAUUGCUAUUGUACUACAACGACGGCGGGCAAUACAACCGAUGGUUGGAAAUCCAGCGGCGGCGUACAUGCUCGCAAUUCGGUUGGUCGCGGCUUGCGGUUCGGCUGGUCGCAACUUUUGAUGUUGGCUACGUGUACUGCAUCCCUGCCCACAAGCAUCACUAAAACGGAAGCUGCACCCCACGGGUGACAGUUGGCCAGUUGGGGGCAUGGUGUUUGGCCAUGGUGGCUGCUGACAGUGGUCAGAGGUAGUCCACCCGAACUCUAUGUCCAAACAGACCGGAUAAUAUUAAUUUUCAUUUUAUGUC